AACACAUGGCAUGAUGUCGAGAAUAAAUUGGAUUAUAUAAGGUGCUGAAUAUGUCCACGUCUGUCUUGAUCUUACACCAAAUCACUCUAAGAAUAUCAUGUCAAUGUUUUGCUGGUGGUUUUGAAGCUUGGAGAUUAGUCUUAUGGGUGUUACUUGUAUAGUAGUGGGUGCUCCACAGAAAGAAAAAUGAAACAAACUCAGCUCAUUUCUUGACCAAUUACUAAUUUACUAUUUGCUUUUACCAUUAGCUUUAAAAAAGAAUUUUUUUUAUCAUGUAUGCUGUAGCCUCCAAUUCAUUACCAUGUUUAGUGAAACAAAUCAAAUGAUAUUCUCUAACGUAGUCUUGGUAUACUUCCCACUCCCCUAAUGUUUGACUUAAAAUAGG
rnacentral:lncRNA from 1 species